rnacentral:rRNA from 1 species
UCGAGAAUCUUCGGCAAUGGACGCAAGUCUGACCGAGCGACGCCGCGUGCGGGAUGAAGGCCUUCGGGUUGUAAACCGCUGUCGGAGGGGAUGAAAUCGUGGUGGGUUCUCCCACCUCGUUGACAUAGCCUCAAAGGAAGUGUGGGCUAAGUUCGUGCCAGCAGCCGCGGUAAGACGAACCACACAAACGUUAUUCGGAAUUACUGGGCUUAAAGGGUGCGUAGGCGGCGCGGAAAGUAGGGUGUGAAAUCCCUCGGCUCAACCGAGGAAUUGCGCCCUAAACUACCGUGCUCGAGGGAGAUAGAGGUGAGCGGAACUUAGGGUGGAGCGGUGAAAUGCGUUGAUAUCCUAAGGAACACCGGUGGCGAAAGCGGCUCACUGGAUCUCUUCUGACGCUGAGGCACGAAAGCUAGGGUAGCGAACGGGAUUAGAUACCCCCGUAGUCC